rnacentral:rRNA from 1 species
GAAGAAAGAGGGAGGGGGGAGGAAAAAAGGAAAGUAGAACGGAAAGGAACUGCUUUUGUGGGGUGUUAGAGUGGCGAACGGGUGAGUAACAAGUGAGUAAAAUGCAUUUGACUUUGGGAUAACUUCAGGAAACUGGGGCUAAUACCGGAUAGGAGCUCCUGCUGCAUGGUGGGGGUUGGAAAGUUUCGGCGGUUGGGGAUGGACUCGCGGCUUAUCAGCUUGUUGGUGGGGUAGUGGCUUACCAAGGCUUUGACGGGUAGCCGGCCUGAGAGGGUGACCGGCCACAUUGGGACUGAGAUACGGCCCAGACUCCUACGGGAGGCAGCAGUGGGGAAUAUUGCACAAUGGGCGGAAGCCUGAUGCAGCAACGCCGCGUGCGGGAUGACGGCCUUCGGGUUGUAAACCGCUUUCGCCUGUGACGAAGCGUGAGUGACGGUAAUGGGUAAAGAAGCACCGGCUAACUACGUC